CUGAAUAGCGGCGGACGGGUGAGUAACGCGUGGGCAACCUGCCUUUCACAGGGGGAUAACACAGGGAAACUUGUGCUAAUACCGCAUAACACAACGAGAUAGCAUUUUCUUGUUGUCAAAGGAGCAAUCCGGUGAUAGAUGGGCCCGCGUCCAAUUAGCUAGUUGGUGAUGUAACGGACCACCAAGGCGACGAUUGGUAGCCGAACUGAGAGGUUGAUCGGCCACAUUGGGACUGAGACACGGCCCAGACUCCUACGGGAGGCAGCAGUGGGGAAUAUUGCACAAUGGGGGAAACCCUGAUGCAGCAACGCCGCGUGAAGGAUGAAGGUUUUCGGAUUGUAAACUUCUUUAGUCAGGGACGAAUAAAUGACGGUACCUGAAGAAUAAGCCACGGCUAACUACGUGCCAGCAGCCGC
rnacentral:rRNA from 1 species